rnacentral:lncRNA from 1 species
AAAAAAAAAAAAAGAAAUUAUUUCCCGGUGAAAAACGGCGAAACGUGUCGAUAUUGGCGGGGGGGCGGGGAGUGUUGCCUUCGGGUCCCGCCCCCCGGGUAGCGCUGCGCUCCCAUUGGUUGCGCUCUGCCGGGCUGCGGUCCCAUUGGCUGUUGCAGAGAGUGUUGUCAUGGGAACGCCUUCAGGUCCCGCCCCCGGGUAACCCUGCGCUCCCAUUGGUUGCGCUCUGCGGGGCUGCGAUCCCAUUGGCUGUUGCCGCCGGAUGGGGCGGGCGCUGGGAGCAAACUGGGAUUGCGGUGGGGUUAUACUGGGAACAAACUGGGAUUGAGCUCGGAGGAAACUGGGAUGGAGCUGGAAACUAACUGGGGGCAAACUGGGGUUGAACUGGGGUGAUACUGGGAGCAAACUGGGAUUGCACUUGGACUGUGUUGGGCUGGAACUGGAGGUACUGGGAGGUACUGGGAUGAACUGGGAGGUACUGGGAUGAACUGGGAGGUACUGGGAUGGCUCUGAGAGGUACUGAGAAGUACUGGGUUAUACUGGGUGACACUGGGAGGUACUGGGAUGGCACUGGGCGAUACUGGAAGGCACUGGGAUGGCACUGGGCGAUACUGGGAGGCACUGGGAUGGCACUGGGUGAUACUGGGAUGGCUCUGAGAGAUACUGGGAAGUACUGGGCUAUACUGGGAUGCCACUGGGAGGUACUGGGAUGGCUCUG